rnacentral:misc_RNA from 1 species
AGCUUAAAUAUUGAACUUAGUUCGCAUAGAGCUCAAACUUGUACCUUGGAAACCAGUCCCUCAACCUUUCCAGAUGAGCUAAUCCCUAAUAAAUUUAAUAAGAAUAAUUCGUCUUUUAAAGUUACUAAAUCAAUCCUUUGUUCUACAAAAGUGUUAACCAAUAAUGACUACAUCCAUAAUUUCUCCUGCGUGGUUCUUUAAAUACCAUGUUGCUCUAACUCUUCAA